rnacentral:lncRNA from 1 species
CCACAGCAUGUGCUUAAAGAGGAGGAAAGGGGAUAAAUUGAAAACCAGCCCCAGUAGGCUAGAAACCCCCAGCAAGCAAUUUUGUCCACCGACCAAUUAUGGAGGCGUAGAGCAAGAAAAGGGGAAAAGAGAAAAAUCAUCCGCCAGAAAGGUGCCUUCUACCACCAUGAUUGAAACUAACUAAAUCCUUUUGUCUGCUGCAGGAAAACAAAGGAUUGAUAAUGGCAGCAAGACGCAACGCCAGGGAAAUCACCAAAAACCGGGGCAGAAUUUUUUUUUACCGAUCGUCAAAAUUUCUCGGAAGAACGGGGAAACAAUCUCAAAUACAUUUUAAGUUCUAGGUCGCCCACCAGUAUAAUGCGGGAAUACAUUUAAGUUCUAGGUCGCCCACCAGUAUAAUGUGGGAAUACAUUUAAGUUCUAGGUCGCCCACCAGUAAAAUGCAGGAAUACAUUUAUGUUCUAGGUCGCCCACCAGUAUAAUGCGGGAAUACAUUUAAGUUCUAGGACGCC